rnacentral:rRNA from 1 species
AGAGUUUGAUCCUGGCUCAGGAUGAACGCUGGCGGCGUGCUUAACACAUGCAAGUCGAACGGGAAAUAUUUCAUUGAGACUUCGGUGGAUUUGAUCUAUUUCUAGUGGCGGACGGGUGAGUAACGCGUGGGUAACCUGCCUUAUACAGGGGGAUAACAGUCAGAAAUGGCUGCUAAUACCGCAUAAGCGCACAGAGCUGCAUGGCUCAGUGUGAAAAACUCCGGUGGUAUAAGAUGGACCCGCGUUGGAUUAGCUUGUUGGCAGGGUAACGGCCUACCAAGGCGACGAUCCAUAGCCGGCCUGAGAGGGUGAACGGCCACAUUGGGACUGAGACACGGCCCAGACUCCUACGGGAGGCAGCAGUGGGGAAUAUUGCACAAUGGGGGAAACCCUGAUGCAGCGACGCCGCGUGAAGGAAGAAGUAUCUCGGUAUGUAAACUUCUAUCAGCAGAGAAGAUAGUGACGGUACCUGACUAAGAAGCCCCGGCUAACUACGUGCCAGCAGCCGCGGUAAUACGUAGGGGGCAAGCGUUAUCCGGAUUUACUGGGUGUAAAGGGAGCGUAGACGGUGUGGCAAGUCUGAUGUGAAAGGCAUGGGCUCAACCUGUGGACUGCGUUGGAAACUGUCAUACUUGAGUGCCGGAGGGGUAAGCGGAAUUCCUAGUGUAGCGGUGAAAUGCGUAGAUAUUAGGAGGAACACCAGUGGCGAAGGCGGCUUACUGGACGGUAACUGACGUUGAGGCUCGAAAGCGUGGGGAGCAAACAGGAUUAGAUACCCUGGUAGUCCAUGCCGUAAACGAUGAUUACUAGGUGUUGGAGGAUUGACCCCUUCAGUGCCGCAGUUAACACAAUAAGUAAUCCACCUGGGGAGUACGACCGCAAGGUUGAAACUCAAAGGAAUUGACGGGGGCCCGCACAAGCAGUGGAGUAUGUGGUUUAAUUCGAAGCAACGCGAAGAACCUUACCAGGUCUUGACAUCCGAUGCAUAGUGCAGAGAUGCAUGAAGUCCUUCGGGACAUCGAGACAGGUGGUGCAUGGUUGUCGUCAGCUCGUGUCGUGAGAUGUUGGGUUAAGUCCCGCAACGAGCGCAACCCUUAUUGCCAGUUACUACGAAAGAGGACUCUGGCGAGACUGCCGUUGACAAAACGGAGGAAGGUGGGGAUGACGUCAAAUCAUCAUGCCCUUUAUGACCUGGGCUACACACGUACUACAAUGGCGUUUAACAAAGAGAAGCAAGACCGCGAGGUGGAGCAAAACUCAAAAACAACGUCUCAGUUCAGAUUGCAGGCUGCAACUCGCCUGCAUGAAGUCGGAAUCGCUAGUAAUCGCGGAUCAGAAUGCCGCGGUGAAUACGUUCCCGGGUCUUGCACACACCGCCCGUCA